AUACAUAGGGGGCGAGCGUUAUCCGGAUUUAUUGGGCGUAAAGCGCUAAACGGUGGCUUCGUAAGUCGAGAGUUAAAACUCAGGGCCCAACCCUGAGGCUGCUUUCGAAACUACGAAGCUUGAGUAUGGAAGAGGCAAGCGGAAUUGCCGGUGUAGCGGUAGAAUGCGUUAAUAUCGGCAAGAACACCAAAGGCGAAAGCAGCUUGCUGGGACAUUUCUGACACUAUAAUAGCGAAAGCGUGGGUAGCGAAUGGGAUUAGAUACCCCAGUAGUCCACGCUGUAAACGAUGGAUACUAAGCAUUGAGGGCUUCGACCCCCUCGGUGCUGGAGCUAACGCGUUAAGUAUCCCGCCUGGGAAGUACGGCCGCAAGGCUAAAACUCAAAUGAAUUGGCGGGG
rnacentral:rRNA from 1 species